CGGUGGAUUAUGUGGAUUAAUUCGAUGCAACGCGAAAAACCUUACCUACCCUUGACAUGUACGGAACGCGGUGGAGACACCGCGGUGUCCGAAAGG
rnacentral:rRNA from 1 species